rnacentral:rRNA from 1 species
GUGUCAGCAGCCGCGGUAAGACGAACCGUCCUAACGUUGUUCGGAAUCACUGGGCUUAAAGGGCGCGUAGGCGGGCGACCAAGUCUAGGGUGAAAUCUUUCGGCUUAACCGGAAAAUAGCCUUGGAUACUGGUGGUCUCGAGGGAGGUAGGGGCCGUUGGAACUUCCGGUGGAGCGGUGAAAUGCGUUGAUAUCGGAAGGAACGCCGGUGGCGAAAGCGAACGGCUGGACCUCUUCUGACGCUGAGGCGCGAAAGCCAGGGGAGCAAACGGGAUUAGAUACCCCUGUAGUCC